CUUUCUCUUCUUCCAGCUGCUCACUCAGUGCCGCUCCCCAGGCUAUGUGCCCGGCCCGGAUCUCCCCCAGUGCAGCGCGCUGCCUUUACUGCCUUCCUCCAGCCAGUCCCAGCACUACAGGAAAGGUACUUGUGUUAUGGCUCGGCAUAUGGUCAUUUGUGAACAUGCUUGUCAACCUGGAU
rnacentral:lncRNA from 1 species